AUACGGAGGAUCCAAGCGUUAUCCGGAUUUAUUGGGUUUAAAGGGUGCGCAGGCGGGAGAUUAAGUCGGCGGUGAAAUUUUGCAGCUCAACUGUAAAAGUGCCUUCGAAACUGGUUUCCUUGAGUGGAGAUGAAGUAGGCGGAAUUUGUGGUGUAGCGGUGAAAUGCAUAGAUAUCACGAGGAACUCCGAUUGCGCAGGCAGCUUACUAAACUACUACUGACGCUCAGGCACGAAGGCGUGGGGAUCAAACAGGAUUAGAUACCCUGGUAGUCCACGCAGUAAACGAUGAUUACUAGCUGUUUGCGAUACAAUGUAAGCGGCUGAGCGAAAGCGUUAAGUAAUCCACCUGGGGAGUACGUUCGCAAGAAUGAAACUCAAAGGAAUUGACGGGG
rnacentral:rRNA from 1 species